GACGAACGCUGGCGGCGUGCUUAACACAUGCAAGUCGAACGGAAAGGCCCUGCUUUUGUGGGGUGCUCGAGUGGCGAACGGGUGAGUAACACGUGAGUAACCUGCCCUUGACUUUGGGAUAACUUCAGGAAACUGGGGCUAAUACCGGAUAGGAGCUCCUGCUGCAUGGUGGGGGUUGGAAAGUUUCGGCGGUUGGGGAUGGACUCGCGGCUUAUCAGCUUGUUGGUGGGGUAGUGGCUUACCAAGGCUUUGACGGGUAGCCGGCCUGAGAGGGUGACCGGCCACAUUGGGACUGAGAUACGGCCCAGACUCCUACGGGAGGCAGCAGUGGGGAAUAUUGCAAAAUGGGCGGAAGCCUGAUGCAGCAACGCCGCGUGCGGGAUGACGGCCUUCGGGUUGUAAACCGCUUUCGCCUGUGACGAAGCGUGAGUGACGGUAAUGGGUAAAGAAGCACAGGCUAACUACGUG
rnacentral:rRNA from 1 species